AGAGUUCGAUUCUGGCUCAGGAUGAACGCUGGCGGCGUGCCUAACACAUGCAAGUCGAGCGAUUCUCUUCGGAGAAGAGCGGCGGACGGGUGAGUAACGCGUGGGUAACCUGCCCUGUACACACGGAUAACAUACCGAAAGGUAUGCUAAUACGGGAUAACAUAAGAAAUUCGCAUGUUUUUCUUAUCAAAGCUCCGGCGGUACAGGAUGGACCCGCGUCUGAUUAGCUAGUUGGUGAGGUAACGGCUCACCAAGGCGACGAUCAGUAGCCGACCUGAGAGGGUGAUCGGCCACAUUGGAACUGAGACACGGUCCAA
rnacentral:rRNA from 1 species